CCUGCGGGCAAGUUUGGGAGAGAGGGCAGGGCGAGAGGAGCUCACUGAGGACUUCUCGGUUUAAAAGACAACAUCUCACAAUUUAACCCAGACAGGCCUGCAGUGCACUCAGUAGUAAUGCUGGCUUCUAACAAGGCCUUUGGAGGUGUGUAGUCUGUUCCACUAACACACAUUUCCCACCGUUCACCUGCAGAAGAUGUUCCUCAGAUUCCACACCCCGCUGACUCUAGGGAGAUUUGACCUGUGGUUUGCAGAGCCGCCAGGAGAUUAUGAAAAAAGGGCAAGAGGAAGCCAUCUUUGGUGACAACUUAUGAAGGUAGAGGGAUGCUUUUUUGGUUUUAGCUCCUGGCUAGACAGUGGAUUUGAGUCUUUGGCUAACAGAAACUUUAACUUUUGUCAU
rnacentral:sRNA from 1 species